rnacentral:rRNA from 1 species
UNUGACUUGAGUGCAGAAGGGGAGAGUGGAAUUCCAUGUGUAGCGGUGAAAUGCGUAGAUAUAUGGAGGNACACCAGUGGCGAAAGCGGCUCUCUGGUCUGUCACUGACGCUGAGGCUNGAAAGCGUGGGUAGCGAACAGGAUUAGAUACCCUGGUAGUNCACGCCGUAAACGAUGAGUGCUAGGUGUUAGGCCCUUUCCGGGGCUUAGUGCCGGAGCUAACGCAAUAAGCACUCCGCCUGGGGAGUACGACCGCAAGGUUGAAACUCAAAGGAAUUGACGGGGGCCCGCACAAGCGGUGGAGCAUGUGGUUUAAUUCGAAGCAACGCGAAGAACCUUACCAGGUCUUGACAUCCCGAUGCUAUUCUUAGAGAUAGGAAGUUACUUCGGUACAUCGGAGACAGGUGGUGCAUGGUUGUCGUCAGCUCGUGUCGUGAGAUGUUGGGUUNNNNNNNNNNACGAGCGCAACCCUUAUUGUUAGUUGCCAUCAUUAAGUUGGGCACUCUAGCGAGACUGCCGGUAAUAAACCGGAGGAAGGUGGGGAUGACGUCAAAUCAUCAUGCCCCUUAUGACCUGGGCUACACACGUGCUACAAUGGUCGGUACAACGAGUUGCGAGCCGGUGACGGCAAGCUAAUCUCUGAAAGCCGAUCUCAGUUCGGAUUGGAGGCUGCAACUCGCCUCCAUGAAGUCGGAAUCGCUAGUAAUCGCGGAUCAGCACGCCGCGGUGAAUACGUUCCCGGGCNU